rnacentral:rRNA from 1 species
AUUGAACGCUGGCGGCAUGCCUUACACAUGCAAGUCGAACGGUAACAGGUCUUCGGAUGCUGACGAGUGGCGAACGGGUGAGUAAUACAUCGGAGCGUGCCUAGUAGUGGGGGGUAACUACUCGAAAGAGUGGCUAAUACCGCAUGAGAUCUACGGAUGAAAGCAGGGGAUCGUAAGACCUUGUGCUUCUAGAGCGGCCGAUGGCAGAUUAGGUAGUUGGUGGGAUAAAAGCUUACCAAGCCGACGAUCUGUAGCUGGUCUGAGAGGACGAUCAGCAACACUGGGACUGAGACACGGCCCAGACUCCUACGGGAGGCAGCAGUGGGGAAUUUUGGACAAUGGGCGAAAGCCUGAUCCAGCAAUGCCGCGUGCAGGAUGAAGGCCUUCGGGUUGUAAACUGCUUUUGUACGGAACGAAAAGCCCCGGGUUAAUACCCUGGGGUCAUGACGGUACCGUAAGAAUAAGCACCGGCUAACUACGUGCCAGCCGCCGCAGUAA